rnacentral:rRNA from 1 species
UACGUAGGGUGCGAGCGUUGUCCGGAAUUACUGGGCGUAAAGAGCUCGUAGGUGGUUUGUCGCGUUGUUCGUGAAAUCCCACGGCUUAACUGUGGGCGUGCGGGCGAUACGGGCAGACUGGAGUACUGCAGGGGAGACUGGAAUUCCUGGUGUAGCGGUGGAAUGCGCAGAUAUCAGGAGGAACACCGGUGGCGAAGGCGGGUCUCUAGGCCGACACUGACGCUGAGGAGCGAAAGCGUGGGGAGCGAACAGG